AUUGAACGCUGGCGGCAGGCCUAACACAUGCAAGUCGAGCGGAUGAAGGGAGCUUGCUCCUGGAUUCAGCGGCGGACGGGUGAGUAAUGCCUAGGAAUCUGCCUGGUAGUGGGGGAUAACGUCCGGAAACGGGCGCUAAUACCGCAUACGUCCUGAGGGAGAAAGUGGGGGAUCUUCGGACCUCACGCUCUCAGAUGAGCCUAGGUCGGAUUAGCUAGUUGGUGGGGUAAAGGCCUACCAAGGCGACGAUCCGUAACUGGUCUGAGAGGAUGAUCAGUCACACUGGAACUGAGACACGGUCCAGACUCCUACGGGAGGCAGCAGUGGGGAAUAUUGGACAAUGGGCGAAAGCCUGAUCCAGCCAUGCCGCGUGUGUGAAGAAGGUCUUCGGAUUGUAAAGCACCUUAAGUUGGGAGGAAGGGCAGUAAGUUAAUACCUUGCUGUUUUGACGUUACCAACAGAAUAAGCACCGGCUAACUUCGUG
rnacentral:rRNA from 1 species